UUCAAAAAAGAUUUCCUUCUCUGCUUUGGUAAGAGCAUAGCUGCUUAAGUAUUGACGCACUUUAUCAGUCUUCUUGUCGUAUGGGUCUUUCAUACAUUGGUGCUCCUCCCGUGUUUCUGUUGUAUCUUUUGUCUUUCCAUACACUCCCAGGAAGCCUAGCAGGUUCACGCAAAGAUUCUUCGUCACGUGCAUCACGUCGAUUGAAGACCGG
rnacentral:lncRNA from 1 species